UUGUGAUUGUUGUAGCUUUUCCUUGGAUAAACCGAACAGAGCAGGAAAAAAAAAGAAAGAAAAGAAAAGAUAUAAUUU
rnacentral:ribozyme from 1 species